UACGGAGGAUGCAAGCGUUAUCCGGAAUGAUUGGGCGUAAAGCGUCCGCAGGUGGCAAUGUAAGUCUGCUGUCAAAGCGUCUGGCUCAACCAGAUAAAGGCAGUGGAAACUACAUAGCUAGAGUAAGGUAGGGGUAGAGGGAAUUCCUGGUGUAGCGGUGAAAUGCGUAGAGAUCAGGAAGAACACCGGUGGCGAAAGCGCUCUGCUGGACCUAAACUGACACUGAGGGACGAAAGCUAGGGGGGCGAAUGGG
rnacentral:rRNA from 1 species